UAGAUCCAACUCAUUCUUUCACGUUUUUUUACACUGGUAUAAUACUACUAUCAUCACCAAACUCACACAAUUACUACCACCACCCAUUAACAAACUUUUUUCCUUUUCACAAACUAAAAUGCACACCAUUCAAAUUGAAACCAAACCUGUAAUAUUUCAAACCACAAGCCUCACAGUAGCAGCAUAUUUACAAAUUAAAAAACAAGUUUCAUCCUUUAUCAAUUCCAAUUCCAAACAACUAAUAACAAUUUUCAUGCAAGCCAAAUAA